CACACACAUGUAUAUAAAAGUAUAAUUGAUAUUUUGUGUCUCUUUUCAUUAUAUAUGUUUAACAUAUAUAUGAUAAUAAAUAUAUAUAAUAAAAACAUCUAAAAAACAACUGCUUUCCACUUCCAUGCGUGUUCAUGUGUGUGUAUAAGCGUGUGCACGUGCAAGCCCCCAUGUGUGUUCACGUGUCAUUUGUGCCUCUGUGAUGCUAAAGCUUGGACUCAGAGCUUUGUGCAUAUUAAGAAAGCCCCUCAAGGGAAUUGAUGUGAAGGUGAGUGAAAGCAGGUGUGAGUGAAAGCAAGGAAGGAAUCAUGGCUGCCAAAGUAUUUGAGUCCAUCGGAAAGUUCGGCCUGGCUUUAGCAGUUGCAGGAGGCGUGGUGAACUCUGCUUUAUAUAACGUGGAUGCUGGGCACAGAGCUGUCAUCUUUGACCGAUUCCAUGGAGUACAGGACACUGUGGUAGGGGAAGGGACUCAUUUUCUCAUCCCUUGGGUACAGAAACCAGUUAUCUUUGACUGUCGCUCUCAACCACGAAAUAUACCAGUCAUCACUGGUAGCAAAGACUUGCAGAACGUCAACAUCACACUGCGCAUCCUCUUCCGGCCCAUGGCCAGCCAGCUUCCUCAUAUCUACACCAACAUCGGCCAGGACUAUGAUGAGCGGGUGCUGCCCUCUAUCACCUCAGAGAUCCUCAAGUCGGUGGUGGCUCGCUUCGAUGCAGGAGAAUUGAUUACCCAGCGAGAGGUGGUCUCCAAGCAAGUGAGCGAUGACCUCACAGAGCGAGCAUCAACAUUUGGGCUUGUCCUGGAUGACGUGUCCCUGACACAUCUGACCUUCGGGAAAGAGUUCACAGAGGCAGUGGAAGCCAAACAGGUGGCUCAGCAGGAAGCAGAGACAGCCAGAUUUGUGGUGGAAAAGGCUGAGCAGCAGAAGGUAGCAGCCAUCAUCUCUGCUGAAGGUGACGCUAAGGCAGCUGAGCUCAUCGCCAACUCGCUGGCCACCGCAGGUGAUGGCCUGAUUGAGCUGCGAAAGCUGGAAGCUGCUGAGGACAUUGCAUACCAGCUCUCCCUCUCUCGGAAUGUCACCUACCUGCCAGUGGGGAAGACUGUGCCCCUCCGGCUUCCCCAGUGAGGCUUCCCCUGCUUCACCUUCUCAGGCCAAUCGGGCCACAGUCUCGAACAUUUUGAACAACGCCUUCCUUCUACCCCACCCCAAAAAUCACUGUGAAAUUUAAUGAUUGGUUUAAAGUGAAGGAAACAAAAGUAAAAUCACUUCAGAUCUC